rnacentral:lncRNA from 1 species
AUGUGUUCACUGAAGUUUGAGAAGCAUUAGCCUAGAAACUAAAUGUCUUUGUGUAAAUAAAAUUUUAAAAAACAGAUCUGAAACAAAAGUAUAAAAUAUUAACAUCUGUUCUUAGUGCACACAUGAGUGUCUGUUAUAAUUAUUUGAAGUGUUUUUCAUUUUAAAAUAUUACACUAAAAUGAUAGAUAAUGAAGGAGGGAUUAUAUUUUACCACUGGGCCUUGGAAGAUAGACAUUGAGGUUCUUUCAAAAUAAUGUCAUGGCCAUUUUAUCCAGCUGCCGCUUCCUUAAGUUAUAGCCAUACAGCCCAUCUCAAUCCUACCAUAUUUGUCUCUCUUCCUCUCCUGCUUCAGAAGUGUUAAACAGGGUAAAUGCUUCAUAUUUUCUUAUG